rnacentral:tRNA from 1 species
AAGUCAGUAGCUCAGUGGCAGAGCAGCCGCCUCAUAAUCGGCAGGUCGGGGGUUCGAAUCCCUCCUGGC